AGAGUUUGAUCAUGGCUCAGGAUGAACGCUAGCUACAGGCUUAACACAUGCAAGUCGAGGGGCAGCAUUAAGUUAGCUUGCUAACUUAGAUGGCGACCGGCGCACGGGUGAGUAACGCGUAUCCAACCUUCCCCUUACUCAGGGAUAGCCCGGUGAAAACCGGAUUAACACCUGAUAGUUUCACUAGAUGGCAUCUGACGGUGAAUAAAGCUUACGGUAAGGGAUGGGGAUGCGUCUGAUUAGCUUGUUGGCGGGUAACGGCCCACCAAGGCGACGAUCAGUAGGGGUUCUGAGAGGAAGGUCCCCCACAUUGGAACUGAGACACGGUCCAAACUCCUACGGGAGGCAGCAGUGAGGAAUAUUGGUCAAUGGGCGAGAGCCUGAACCAGCCAAGUAGCCGUGCAGGAUGACGGCCCUAUGGGUUGUAAACUGCUUUUGUACGGGAAUAAAGUGACCUACGUGUAGGUUUUUGCAUGUACCGUAAGAAUAAGGACCGGCUAAUUCCGUGCCAGCCGCAGC
rnacentral:rRNA from 1 species